rnacentral:misc_RNA from 1 species
GAUGAAGAACGCAGCGAAAUGCGAUACGUAAUGUGAAUUGCAAAUUCAGUGAAUCAUCGAGUCUUUGAACGCACAUUGCGCCCCCUGGUAUUCCGGGGGGCAUGCCUGUCCGAGCGUCAUUGCUGCCCUCAAGCACGGCUUGUGUGUUGGGCCCCGUCCUCCGAUCCCGGGGGACGGGCCCGAAAGGCAGCGGCGGCACCGCGUCCGGUCCUCGAGCGUAUGGGGCUUUGUCACCCGCUCUGUAGGCCCGGACGGCGCUUGCCGAUCAACCCAAAUUUUUAUCCAGGUUGACCUCGGAUCAGGUAGGGAUACCCGCUGAACUUAAGCAUAUCAAUAAGCGGAGGA